rnacentral:tRNA from 1 species
CAAAUUAUAGCUUAAAGUAAGUAUUUCAUUUACAUUGAAAAGAAAUUAAUAUAAAUUAAUUAAUUUGA